CAGGCCUAUGCAGUUGAGACCGGGCCUGGAUCAUCAGGGGAAGCAGGCCUAUGCAGUUGAGACCGGGCCUGGAUCAUCAGGGGAAGCAGGCCUAUGCAGUUGAGACCGGGCCUGGAUCAUCAGGGGAAGCAGGCCUAUGCAGUUGAGACCGGGCCUGGAUCAUCAGGGGAAGCAGGCCUAUGCAGUUGAGACCGGGCCUGGAUCAUCAGGGGAAGCAGGCCUAUGCAGUUGAGACCGGGCCUGGAUCAUCAGGGGAAGCAGGCCUAUGCAGUUGAGACCGGGCCUGGAUCAUCAGGGGAAGCAGGCCUAUGCAGUUGAGACCGGGCCUGGAUCAUCAGGGGAAGCAGGCCUAUGCAGUUGAGACCGGGCCUGGAUCAUCAGGGGAAGCAGGCCUAUGCAGUUGAGACCGGGCCUGGAUCAUCAGGGGAAGCAGGCCUAUGCAGUUGAGACCGGGCCUGGAUCAUCAGGGAAAGCAGGCCUAUGCAGUUGAGACCGGGCCUGGAUCAUCAGGGGAAGCAGGCCUAUGCAGUUGAGACCGGGCCUGGAUCAUCAGGGGAAGCAGGCCUAUGCAGUUGACUAGAUAGUUUCCAGCCUGUGUGCAUCUGUUCAGAGGUGUUUUGUCUGGGAAGCUUGUUCUGAAUCCUGCAUGUCACACUGUUAUCCCUCUGUCCACUGAUCCUGUCUUGUCCCAGACGCGCCACUAAGGUCUUGUCUGUCCCAGACGCGCCACUAAGGAAGGUCCUGUCUGUCCCAGACGCGCCACUAAGGAAGGUCCUGUCUGUCCCAGACGCACCACUAUGGUCCUGUCUGUCCCAGACGCGCCGUUAAGGUCCUGUCUGUCCCAGACGCACCACUAUGGUCCUGUCUGUCCCAGACGCGCCGCUAAGGUCCUGUCUGUCCCAGACGCGCCACUAAGGAAGGUCCUGUCUGUCCCAGACGCUCCACUAAGGAAGGUCCUGUCUGUCCCAGACGCGCCACUAAGGAAGGUCCUGUCUGUCCCAGACGCGCCGUUAAGGUCCUGUCUGUCCCAGACGCGCCGCUAAGGUCCUGUCUGUCCCAGACGCCCCGCUAAGGUCCUGUCUGUCCCAGACGCUCCACUAAGGAAGGUCCUGUCUGUCCCAGACGCGCCACUAUGGAAGGUCCUGUCUGUCCCAGACGCCCCGCUAAGGUCCUGUCUGUCCCAGACGCCCCGCUAAGGUCCUGUCUGUCCCAGACGUGCCACUAAGGAAGGUCCUGUCUGUCCCAGACGCCCCGCUAAGGUCCUGUCUGUCCUAGACGCCCCGCUAAGGUCCUGUCUGUCCCAGAUGCCCCGCUAAGGUCCUGUCUGUCCUAGACGCCCCGCUAAGGUCCUGUCUGUCCCAGACGCCCCGCUAAGGUCCUGUCUGUCCCAGACGCCCCGCUAAGGUCCUGUCUGUCCCAGACGCCCCGCUAAGGUCCUGUCUGUCCCAGACGCCCCGCUAAGGUCCUGUCUGUCCCAGACGCCCCGCUAAGGUCCUGUCUGUCCCAGACGCCCCGCUAAGGUCCUGUCUGUCCCAGACGCCCCGCUAAGGUCCUGUCUGUCCCAGACGCCCCGCUAAGGUCCUGUCUGUCCCAGACGCCCCGCUAAGGUCCUGUCUGUCCCAGACGCCCCGCUAAGGUCCUGUCUGUCCCAGAUGCCCCGCUAAGGUCCUGUCUGUCCCAGACGUGCCACUAAGGAAGUUCCUGUCUGUCCCAGACGCCCCGCUAAGGUCCUGUCUGUCCCAGACGCGCCGCUAAGGUCCUGUCUGUCCCAGACGCGCCGCUAAGGUCCUGUCUGUCCCAGACGCGCCGCUAAGGUCCUGUCUGUCCCAGACGCGCCGCUAAGGUCCUGUCUGUCCCAGACGCGCCGCUAAGGUCCUGUCUGUCCCAGACGCGCCGCUAAGGUCCUGUCUGUCCCAGACGCGCCGCUAAGGUCCUGUCUGUCCCAGACGCGCCGCUAAGGUCCUGUCUGUCCCAGACGCGCCACUAAGGUCCUGUCUGUCCCAGACGCGCCACUAAGGUCCUGUCUGUCCCAGACGCGCCACUAAGGUCCUGUCUGUCCCAGACGCGCCACUAAGGUCCUGUCUGUCCCAGACGCGCCACUAAGGUCCUGUCUGUCCCAGACGCGCCGCUAAGGAAGGUCCUGUCUGUCCCAGACGCGCCACUAAGGAAGGUCCUGUCUGUCCCAGACGCGCCGCUAAGGAAGGUCCUGUCUGUCCCAGACGCGCCGCUAAGGAAGGUCCUGUCUGUCCCAGACGCGCCACUAAGGAAGGUCCUGUCUGUCCCAGACGCACCACUACGGAAGGUCCUGUCGGUCCCAGACGCGCCACUAAGGUCCUGUCUGUCCCAGACACUAAGGUCCUGUCUGUCCCAGACACUAAGGUCCUGUCUGUCCCAGACGCUAAGGUCCUGUCUGUCCCAGACGCUAAGGUCCUGUCUGUCCCAGACGCUAAGGUCCUGUCUGUCCCAGACGCUAAGGUCCUGUCUGUCCCAGACGCUAAGGUCCCGUCGGUCCCAGACUCGCCGCUAAGGUCCCAUCGGUCCCAGACGCGCCGCUAAGGUCCCGUCGGUCCCAGACGCUAAGGUCCCGUCGGUCCCAGACGCGCCACUAAGGAAGGUCCUGUCUGUCCCAGACGCGCCACUAAGGAAGGUCCUGUCUGUCCCAGACGCGCCGCUAAGGUACUGUCUGUCCCAGACGCGCCACUAAGGAAGGUCCUGUCUGUCCCAGACGCGCCGCUAAGGAAGGUCCUGUCUGUCCCAGGCGUGUGCACACACCAGAUCUCUCACACUCACACCAGCUCUGUCUUUCAGUAAAUCAUGUAUUGAGUAAUUGGAUAAUGAAUGAAAGGGACUUUGGGAUGUGGUUCUAUCCCCCAUGAUGUCUGCAUCUCAAAUGAAACCCAUAAGGACACGGAUCCUGUCACACUGGUUAAAGCACAGAACGGUUCACUUAAUUCACCAUGUUCUUUUGCACGUUUUCUCAGUUACUAUGGCGAUCCUCCCCUUACUGCAUGUUACUAGGUCGAUCCUCCCCUUACUGCAUGUUACUAUGGCGAUCCUCCCCUUACCGCACGUUACUAUGGCGAUCAUUCCCUUACCGCACGUUACUAUGGCGAUCCUCCCCUUACCGCAUGUUACUAUGGCGAUCCUCCCCUUACCGCACGUUACUAUGGCGAUCUUUCCCUUUACCGCACGUUACUAUGGCGAUCCUCCCCUUACCGCACGUUACUAUGGCGAUCCUCCCCUUACCGCACGUUACUAUGGCGUUCCUCCCCUUACUGCAUGUUACUAUCAUUUACAUUUAAGUCAUUUAGCAGACGCUCUUAUCCAGAGCGACAUACAAAUUGGUGCAUACACCUUAUGACAUCCAGUGGAACAGUCACUUUACAA